rnacentral:rRNA from 2 species
GCGUGCCUAAUACAUGCAAGUCGACGAGCUCUCCCAAAUUGAUUUUAUGCUUGCAUAAAUGAUUUUUGGAUUCGGAGCGAGUGGCGAACUGGUGAGUAACACGUGGGUAACCUGCCCCGAAGCGGGGGAUAACAUUUGGAAACAAGUGCUAAUACCGCAUAAUUAGUUGGAACCGCAUGGUUCCAACUUGAAAGAUGGCUCUGCUAUCACUUUGGGAUGGACCCGCGCCGUAUUAGUUAGUUGGUGAGAUAAAAGCCCACCAAGACGAUGAUACGUAGCCGACCUGAGAGGGUAAUCGGCCACAUUGGGACUGAGACACGGCCCAGACUCCUACGGGAGGCAGCAGUAGGGAAUCUUCCACAAUGGACGAAAGUCUGAUGGAGCAACGCCGCGUGAGUGAUGAAGGUUUUCGGAUCGUAAAACUCUGUUGUUAAAGAAGAACAAGUGUUAGAGUAACUGUUAACACUUUGACGGUAUUUAACCAGAAAGCCACGGCUAACUACGUGCCAGCAGCCGCGGUAAUACGUAGGUGGCAAGCGUUGUCCGGAUUUAUUGGGCGUAAAGCGAGCGCAGGCGGUUUUGUAAGUCUGCUGUGAAAGCCCUCAGCUCAACUGAGGAAGUGCAGUGGAAACUACAAAACUUGAGUACAGAAGAGGAAAGUGGAACUCCAUGUGUAGCGGUGAAAUGCGUAUAUAUAUGGAAGAACACCAGUGGCGAAGGCGGCUUUCUGGUCUGUUACUGACGCUGAGGCUCGAAAGCAUGGGUAGCGAACAGGAUUAGAUACCCUGGUAGUCCAUGCCGUAAACGAUGAAUACUAGGUGUUGGAGGGUUUCCGCCCUUCAGUGCCGCAGCUAACGCAUUAAGUAUUCCGCCUGGGGAGUACGACCGCAAGGUUGAAACUCAAAGGAAUUGACGGGGGCCCGCACAAGUGGUGGAGCAUGUGGUUUAAUUCGAUGCUACGCGAAGAACCUUACCAGCUCUUGACAUCUUCUGCCAACCCAAGAGAUUGGGCGUUCCCUUCGGGGACAGAAUGACAGUGGUGCAUGUUGUCGGUCCAGCUCGUGGUCGUGAGAUGUUGGGUUAAGUCCGCAACGAGCGCAACCCUUAUUAUUA